rnacentral:rRNA from 1 species
CCCCCCGCGGCGGUCCCUGCUAGCCGGACACCGCUGGCAACCCGGCACCAAGACGUGCGCGCAAGGGCGGGCGCCCGCGGGCGAG